rnacentral:tRNA from 1 species
AGGAUUAUAGUUUAUAAAAACAUUUGAUUUGCAAUCAAAAAAUAUUGGACAUCAAUUUAUCUUA